rnacentral:misc_RNA from 1 species
GUUCCGUAGGUGAACCAGCGGAAGGAUCAUUAUUGUAUAACCGAGGUGCGAGGGCUGUCGCUGACUCGACAGGUUGGGCACGCCCGAGUGCCCUCACACACAUCCAUCUCACCCCUAUGUGCACCACCGCGUGGGUCCCCCUUUGGCUUGUUCGGAGGGGGGCUUACGUUUUCUCACAAACUUUGUAUGCAGUGUAGAAUGUAUUUUUUGUUUUUGCGAUCUCGCAAUCAAUACAACUUUCAACAACGGAUCUCUUGGCUCUC